AGCAAUACUUUGCCUAGAGUGACGUACGGGUGCGUAACACGUAUGCAACCUACCCUUUACAGGCGGAUAGCUCGGGGAAACCCGAAUUAACCCGCCGUAGUAUAAUUGAAUGGCAUCAUUUGAUUAUUAAAACUCAGGUGGUAAAGGAUGGGCAUGCGUCUGAUUAGUUAGUUGGUAGUGUAAUGGACUACCAAGACGAUGAUCAGUAGGGGAACUGAGAGGUUGAUCCCCCACACUGGCACUGAGAUACGGGCCAGACUCCUACGGGAGGCAGCAGUAGGGAAUAUUGGUCAAUGGAUGCAAGUCUGAACCAGCCAUGCCGCGUGCAGGAAGAAGGCCUUCUGGGUUGUAAACUGCUUUUGUCAGGGGAUAAAAUAUCCUUGCGAGGGUAAUUGAAGGUACCUGGCGAAUAAGCCACGGCUAACUACGUGCCAGCAGCCGCGGUAAUACGUAGGUGGCAAGCGUUGUCCGGAUUUAUUGGGUUUAAAGGGUGCGUAGGCGGCCCUGUAAGUCAGUGGUGAAAUAUUUCAGCUCAACUGGAAUUGUGCCAUUGAUACUGCGGGGCUUGAGUACAGAUGAGGUAGGCGGAAUUGACGGUGUAGCGGUGAAAUGCUUAGA
rnacentral:rRNA from 1 species